AAGAAAGUGAAGUUGGAGGCUUUUGCGAGAAAAGUAAGAAGGCCGUUGCCGCAAUUCGACUUCAAAGUUAAACAAAAAGCUGGCAUGGUGCGUAGAGAGAGAAGUGGAAGACAGAUGAUCGAGGUAAUGUUAUAUAUAGUAUUAGGAGAAUAAAAACACAUGAAAAUCUGUUAACUUUUUCAUUCAGUCAUUUCGUCAAACAGUCUGUGAUCUCUAUAAUUGUGGGUACCAAAGCCAUCACUAAUUAUACUUGAAAGGUCUUUUUUUCACUGAAUUCAUUGCUUAAUUGAUAAAUGACGUUGAAAUCUUGAAGGAUGUGGAAAUUGAGAAGGAAAUUCACCAUAUCUUUUCUCUCGCUUACAAAGCAUAACCAUUUAAAUUCAGCAACUUAUAUUAUCAAGCCAACUCAGACUACGCAGUUCCUUUCUCAAUGUGCUUAUUCGGUCACUGCCUCUUAUUUGCGGCCUCCACUCAAUGACCCAUUGAAGUUAAAACCUUCUGGUUACCCAGUUGGUUUUUCUUCUUUUACUUCCUUAACAGACCGAAAUUCGAAUGCCCUUACCAUAGUUAAGCCUGAUGAUGAGAUUAGUGAUGAUAACGAUGAUGGCGAAGGCAGUGAAGAUGACAAUGUCGAAAGUCUAAAUAGACAGUCGGGUUUUAGGGAUGAUGAGGAUUUUCUUCGAGAUGUAGGGGAGAUCAUGGAUAUUUUGCGCACACCACGGAGCAGCUGCUCUUUGGUGAAAGAUAAGCUCCAGCAGUGUGGUGUCACUGCCUCAACUGAUUUGGUUGUGGAGGUUCUUUCUCGUGUACGCAAUGAUUGGGAAGCGGCAUAUACGUUCUUUCUGUGGGCUGGCAGUCAGCCAGGUUAUGCACGUUCAUUGCGUGAAUACCAUUCUAUGAUCUCUAUAUUAGGGAAAAUGAGAAAAUUCGACACAGCUUGGGCCCUGAUUGAUGAGAUGAGAGGUGGUAAGACUGGUCCAUCGCUUGUGACUCCCCAUACGCUCUUGAUAAUGAUUAGAAGGUAUUGUGCUAUACAUGAUGUUGGAAAGGCUAUCAAUACUUUUUAUGCUCAUAAUCGGUUUAAAUUUGAGAUUGGAAUGGAGGAAUUCCAAAACCUACUAUCUGCCCUUUGUCGGUAUAAGAAUGUAAAAGAUGCUGAACACUUGCUCUUCUGCAACAAAGAUGUUUUCCGACUCAACAAUAAGAGCUUUAAUAUUAUUCUCAAUGGAUGGUGUAACAUUAUUGGUAAUUCAAGGGAGGCGAAAAGAAUUUGGAGGGAAAUGAAUGAAAGAAGGAUUUUCAAAGAUGUUGUCUCAUUUGCAAGUAUGAUAUCUUGCUAUUCAAAAGUUGGCAGAAUCAAUGAUGUGCUCAAGCUCUUCAACCAGAUGAAAGCGCUGGAAAUUGUUCCAGAUAGGAAAGUUUACAAUGCAGUCAUUCAUACUCUUGCUAAAGGCCGGCUUGUAAAAGAAGCUUGCAAUCUAUUGAAAACAAUGGAAGAGAAAGGUAUUGCUCCAAAUGCUGUUACUUAUAACUCGCUUAUCAUGCCCCUUUGUAAAGCCCGUAAAUUAGAUGAAGCACAUGAGGUUUUUGAUGAGAUGUUAGAGCGGGGACUUCACCCUACUGUUCGAACUUACCAUGCUUUCUUUCGUAUUUUAAGGACAGCAGAAGAAGUGUUUGCGCUAUUGGAAAACAUGAAUACGAAAGGAUGCCGUCCAGGUCAUGACACUUUUAUCAUGUUAAUUAGAAAGUUUUGUCGUUGGCGCCAGCUUGACAACGUCUACAAGCUGUGGACCAAGAUGAGCGAGCAUGGACUUGAUCCUGACCGCAGCUCCUACAUUGUGCUAAUACAUGGGCUAUUUUUGAAUGGAAUGUUGGAGGAAGCGUACAAAUAUAAUCAAGAGAUGAAGGAAAAACAUUUGAUGCCAGAACCCAAGAUGGAUGAGAUCCUUCAAAUUUGGGAAUUGGGUAAGCAAUAUCCAGAGGGGCAGGUGGAGUUAAAAGAUCAUCAAGAAAAUUGUAGACAGUCAACAAAGGAAACCAAGACUGGCUUGGAAAAAGCUAAUUGGGGAAGAGAUUUUCGUCGACUACCUGAAACUAGAAGAAUUGUCAGAGAAAGAGGCUAUUCUUUUUGGGAUGGUUAAAUCUAAAGGUUUAUAUUAUGCUGCUACCUGUUUUGAACAAAAACCCAUGACUACAAAUGGGACAUCUGCAUACCUGCUUUGUAUCAGAACAGUAAAGGUUAAUAUAUAGUAUACAUGUUUUGUCUUCGGCAACCAUCUGCAUCAAGUCAGCCAAAGAACUCUUUACAGGUGCAUGAUAAUUUGCUUAUUCCAAAGAGGCUCUAACACAUACUAUUAUAUUCCAUAAUUACAAAUGAUAAAGCCAUAAUUACAAAUGAUAAACUAGAUAUCAAAUUUACAAAUUAAGUUCAGAAAAUCUUGCAUUUGUUGUAUUAAUGGCUCUAAUCUAGUGGUUACUUCUAAAUGGUGGAUUUACCCUGUGAAACAUUCUAAAUGGAUCCCUUUAAUUUCCUUGGGUUUUAUAACACUCCUUAAACUGUAUGUUUUAUCUAAUUUGACAAAAAGAACUGCAGUAACCAAUAAUGCCUCAAAGAUAUAUGAUAAUAUGCCAAAGUGAGACCCAUUUUAGAUUGUAUGUGUAAUUGAUUUCUGUAGAGACUGAUGGUACAUGAUGAAGGUCAUGCGUCUCUCUUUGAUUUGUAAUACUCUGGCUCUUCAGUUUGUUUGAAAGGUAUUACUUUUUCUUAACAAGUUAUUUCCAUUACAAUUUUUAGUAGUGUUCAAAAAUUGCUUGGCGGACCUAGGUGGUUGAGGCGGCACCUAAUGCAUAGUAAGUCAAGCCUUAAGCGGGCCUAUAUAUUGUAUAUAUUUUUAUUUAGUAUGUAGAGAUGUAAUGUUUCUAAAUUUUACAUUAAAAAUUAAAAAAAACAAUCUUUUAGCAAGUUCAUUCAGAGCCUCAAAACCUUAAUUAAAUCAAUUUGGUAGAGGAGAGAUUUCGCCUAGGUAAGUCCCUAGGGGCCUAGUUAACUAGAGGCGGUCGUAGAGGACCGCAUAGUGCUAGCCUUAAGCGGGCUUUGGCAGGAAUUUUAGAACAUUGGUAUUUAAUUUUAAUAUAGAAAAUAUGAAAUUGUUUUUGAUUUUGGGAGCUUUUGUUUUUGCAGAUUGCAUUGAUUUAAAGUUUGCAGUUUUUGCCACGACAAACCCUUUCUUUUGAGUGAGUUGAUAUCUUUGUUAGAUAACUGAUAGGGGGAAUGUAUUUGGUCUGUGGCUAUGUUUUUGGGUUUUUUUUGUGCUGUUCAUUAAUUUUGCGUAACCUUUUUUUGUGUAAAGUCUCAUGUAAUAUAGCUUAGGUUAUGUUGUUUUUAGUUUUAUCUUCUGUUUUGUAGGAUUGUAUGGUGUUUGCUUUUUGUAUUUUUCUAGUGUCUAUUGGUGGCAGUUACUGGUUAGAUUACAGGAUGUCAGGAUUUAGGCUUUGUCAGCUCCUCGCAAAGUAUAGUUAAUCCCCCAUUUGUCAUUUAUUUUCGUUUUUAUGUAUUUUAACUCGCGUCUUUUAUUCUUUACUGAUGAAAUGAAGUUGUUGGGGUUUACUAAAAAAUCGAAGAAAUAAAUACAAUAACAGAUUUGCUUCUUCCCGCUAUCACAAACCAAAGUGCAUUUACAUGAUCUCUAACAUGAAUAUCCAAUUUGUACAUAGUACCUGGCUCCCAACUUUAAAGCCUAUAGUCAGUUUUAUGUUGUGGCUUGAACCAAAUACUAUGCAAAAAUAUUCUGUAUCUAUCAAAAUCAUAUAUAAGGAGCUCCAAAGUGAGCCAUGAAAAAGCAGCUUUACUCAUUUACAACAUUUCCAUUAUCACAUGUUCUUUUGUAUUCCUUUUUUUUUUCUUUCCUUCAAUGCUUAUUGCCAACAUAGAGAUGCAAAAAGAUGCAUAGAAGCUGUAGUAAAUUGUCCUUGUAUGUUUCCAAUUAAGUUAAGUAUUGUUCAGUAUUGAUCAUAACUUAAGUUCUUGGUUGUUGAUUCGGAUAUUACAGAUACUGUAUUUGAUGGCAUUAAGUACUGAAGGUUAGCUUUCAUGUGCCUCACAGUCACGAAUGUCCUAUAUUUAAAAUUCUUCUAUACAGGUGCAACUAAUCCAGAUAAACUCUCAGCAAGGACUUGGAGGAAGGUAUAGAGAACAAUAUAGGAUAUAAUGGUGAUAAGAAUCAUGCAUGGAGGUGUUCAUUAAUUAACAUUGUCCUCUGGGAGCGGAAGAAUUAAAGGUAUAAAUCAAAGAUGAAGAAGAUUAUUCCCUAAUGUAAGUCUCUCAAACAUGCAUGUUAAAUUCAAUAAUAUAGAUUCCUGGCAAAUGCUUUUUGAGAUCGAGUCUAAUGGUAUAUGUUAGCUUAAUUAGUUACGUUAAUUCAGACAGCAGCUGGUUGAGCCAUAAGAAUGUUCAAAGCUGCAUGCUUCUGGUCGUGCAUGAUAUAUAUGGGAAGCUAGGCC
rnacentral:lncRNA from 1 species